rnacentral:rRNA from 1 species
GUGAGUCAUCGAGUCUUUGAACGCACCUUGCGCUCCUUGGUAUUCCGAGGAGCAUGCCUGUUUGAGUGUCAUUAAUAUAUCAAUUCUCUUCAGCUUUUGCUUGUUGAGUGUUGGAUGUGGGGGGUCGUUUUUUGCUUGGUCCUCUGCAGGUCAGCUCCCCUGAAAUGUAUUAGCGGAACAAUUGUAAACCGUUCAUUGGUGUGAUAACUAUCUACGCUAUUGACGUGAAGCACAGUUCAGCUUCUAACAGUCCAUUCACUUGGACAAAUUUUCAUUAAUGUGACCUCAAAUCAGGUAGGACUACCCGCUGAACUUAAGCAUAUCAAUAAGCGGAGG